AUGUCUUCUGAUGAAGAUCCCCCUCCAAGCAUGACACAAUUAUUAGCCAUGAUCGAGGCGAUGAAGAGCCAAGACGAUUGCGGCCAGAGGCUUGUGCUUUUGGAGCCUCAGCCAUUGUCCCAGGCUAUUUGGGACGAUCAGGGAGGACGACGACUGUCUCAGGCGGAAAGGGUGUGGUUCCAGCGAACAGAGUCAGGUGAGGUGGUGCUCCGGUCAGUCAGAACCAUUUCAAAUGAAGUCUUUAAGAAAUUGGAAUGA